rnacentral:tRNA from 3 species
GCGCGGGUGGCGGAAUGGCAGACGCGCUAGCUUGAGGUGCUAGUCCUUUAACGAGGGUGGGGGUUCAAGUCCCCCUCCGCGCA